UCUGGUUGAUCCUGCCUGAACUGAUGUGUUCAUUUCAAAGAUUAAGCCAUGCAUGUAUAAGUAUAAUCUGCCAGUCAGAGAAACUGCGUACGGCUCAUUACACCAGCCUUAAUUUACUUGACCUUGACACCCUACUUGGAUAACUGUGGUAAUUCUAGAGCUAAUACAUGCACCAAAGCUCCAAUCUCCCCAGAGCGGAGCGCAUUUGUUCGCCACAAAACCAAGCGCCUCAGGGCGUUCAGUGUUGACUCAGAACAACUAAGCUGAUCGCACGGUCUUGCACCGGCGACGUGUCUUUCAAGUGUCUGCCUUAUCAACUUUCGAUGGUAGUGUAUCUGACUACCAUGGUGAUGACGGGUAACGGAGGAUAAGGGUUCGACUCCGGAGAAGGGGCCUGAGAAAUGGCCACUACGUCUAAGGAUGGCAGCAGGCGCGCAAAUUACCCACUCUCGACGCGAGGAGGUAGUGACGAGAAAUAACGAGACCGUUCUCAUCUGAGGCCGGUCAUCGGAAUGGGUACAAUUUAAACCCUUUAACGAGUAUCUAUGAGAGGGCAAGUCUGGUGCCAGCAGCCGCGGUAAUUCCAGCUCUCAAAAUGCAUAGAAUUAUUGCUGCGGUUAAAAAGCUCGUAGUUGGAUCUGUGCUGAGCGACCGGUCUGCCCACUGGGCACGCACUGGCUCGCCCGGCUUUCCCUGCCGGUCUCUCUCUGACGUUGGUUUUAACCGGCUGGCGUCAGUGGGCUGGCGAGUUUACUUUGAACAAAUCAGAGUGCUUCAAACAGGCGUCUCGCCUGAAUGUUCGUGCAUGGAAUAAUAGAAGAGGAUCACGGUCCGAUUUUAUUGGUUUUGCUGACCGAGAUAAUGGUUAACAGAGACAAACGGGGCCAUUCGUAUUGCUACGUGAGAGGUGAAAUUCUUGGACCGUAGCAAGACGGACUACAGCGAAAGCAUUUGGCAAGAAUGUCUUCAUUAAUCAAGAACGAAAGUCAGAGGUUCGAAGGCGAUCAGAUACCGCCCUAGUUCUGACCGUAAACGAUGCCAACUAGCGAUCCGCCGGCGGAUUCAUUCGCCCUGGUGGGGAGCUUCCCGGAAACGAAAGUCUUCCGGUUCCGGGGGAAGUAUGGUUGCAAAGCUGAAACUUAAAGGAAUUGACGGAAGGGCACCACCAGGAGUGGAGCCUGCGGCUUAAUUUGACUCAACACGGGGAAACUCACCCGGCCCGGACACCGUAAGGAUUGACAGAUUGAUAGCUUUUUCAUGAUUCGGUGGAUGGUGGUGCAUGGCCGUUCUUAGUUCGUGGAGCGAUUUGUCUGGUUUAUUCCGAUAACGAGCGAGACUCUGGCCUACUAAAUAGUUGGCACAUUGCCACUGUGUGCACAACUUCUUAGAGGGAUUUUCGGUGUUCAGCCGCACGAAAUUGAGCAAUAACAGGUCUGUGAUGCCCUUAGAUGUCCGGGGCUGCACGCGCGCUACACUGGCAAAAUCAGCGUGCUUGUCCUCCCCCGAAAGGGGUUGGUAAACCGAUGAAAAUUUGCCGUGAUUGGGAUCGGACAUUGCAAUUAUUGUCCGUGAACGAGGAAUCCCUUGUAAGGGCGAGUCAUCAACUCGUCCUGAAUACGUCCCUGCCCUUUGUACACACCGCCCGUCGCUGCCCGGGACUGAGCCAUUUCGAGAAAACCGGGGAUUGUUGGCCUGACGGCUCUCGGGUCGUCUAGCCGAUGAGAACCGGCUUAAUCGCACUGGUUUGAACCGGGCAAAAGUCGUAACAAGGUAGCUGUAGGUGAACCUGCUGCUG
rnacentral:rRNA from 1 species